AAGAGUGGACUUUUGAGUUUCAAUAAAAGUUAAUUGUAUAAAAAAAAUAAAAAGAGCAUACUCACAGCAAAUAAAAUGAAGUUGACUGCGGAAAAUCCGUGCUCGGCCACACGGAAGGAAGCAUCUAUUAAGGAACAGGAAGUUUAGAAUACAAGGCCUUAGGAAAUCGAUCCACAGAAUCGAGUGAAUCGAUGAAGAGAUUGACAAUUCCCGGCAACGGAGAGAAGCGGAGGGCGGUUUUAAAGGGGAAUGUUGCCGUUGCUGGCAGUUCAUGCGGUGGCCGAGUACUAUAGGCUGCAUUGGAAGCCACCUCUCAGUGUAGGGCUUCUUGCUGCCAACGCUCUCAUCUAUUUAAGGCCUGCUUUCCUCCAUCGUAUCCUCCCUUCUAUUCAUGCGGUCUGGUUCAAUCCCUACCUCAUUUUCAAGUACAUGCAUUGAAGGUCAUUGCAUGCGCCCGUCCUGGGUCCGUCCUUCUACUGCUAAUAGAAGAUCCAAUUGUAUUACCCUUAUCACCCAUUUACAAUCUAACAAAAAAAUUAACAACAAUUAAAAACAAAUUAAACAAUUAAUUAACAAGAAUAAAAAGUAAAGUAAUCAAAUUAUGCCUAUAUUAAAUAAAUAGCUAAUUAACAAAACAGGAAAAGAAAGUAAAACUAAUCAAACUAACAACUAAUUAACAAGAAUAACAAGUAAAAAGUAAAUUAAUUACAAACAAAUUAACAAUGCCUAUAUAAAUUAAACAAUUAAUUAACAAAAACAAAAAGUAAAAUAAUCAAAUUAACAAUAAAUUAAUAAUUCCUAUAUAAGAUAAACAACUAAUUAACAAGAGAAAAAGCAAAACUAAUUAAAUUAACAAAAAUAACAAUUAAAAAGUAAACUAAUUACAAACAAAUUAACAAUACUCAUAUUAAUUAAACAAUUAAUUAACGAGAACAAAAAGUGAAAUAAUCAAAUUAAUAAUAGAAUAAUAAUUACUAUAUAAAUAAACAACAAGUAAAAUAAUCAAAUUAACAAUAAAUUAAUAAUUCUUAUAUAAAAUAAACAACUAAUUAACCAAAAAAAAAGUAAAACUAAUUAAAUUAACAAGAAUAACAAUUAAAAAGUAAAUUAAUUGCAAACAAAUUGACAAUACUCAUAUUAAUUAAACAAUAAAUUAACAAGAACAAAAAGUGAAAUAAUCACAUUAACAAUAGAAUAAUAAGUACUAUAUAAAAUAAACAACUAAUGAGAACUAAUGUCUUAUUAACAAGACAAAAACCAAAAUUAAUCAAAUUAACAAGAAUAAUAAGUAAAAAGUAAAUUAAUUACCAUUAAAUUAACAAUACCCAUAUUAAAUAAUCAACCAAUCAAUAAGUAAAAUAAUUAAUUUAGCAAUAUCCAUGUUAAAUAAUUAAAUAAUUAACAAAUAAAAUAAUUAAUUUAACAAUAUCCAUAAAAUUUAAAUAAUUAAUUAAUAAAAAUAAAAGGUAAAAUAAUUAAAUUAAUAGCAAAUAAUUAACUAAUUAAUAAAACCAAUCAUAGAAAAGGAGAAGGAAAAGGAAAAAAAAGACAAAAGAAAAGAGAGAGGGAAGACUACUGUACACCGACAGCAUAACAGGGUUGGAAGAACCGAAGAACCCAACCAGGAAGAAGGAGGAGAAGGAAAGGGGGAAAAAAUCUGCAGUGCUGCUACGUUUUCCAAAGAAAAGAGUAGGAGAGGGAGGAAGAUAGGAUGACAAAGGAGGAAGAAGAUAACAGAGAAGAGGAGGAAGAAGAUGAGAGAGAGAGAGAGAGAGAUAUACCUGGACUCGCAAGUCUGGAGGCGACUAUCUUCCUUUUCUCUGUCGGCAACAGGGUCUCAUCUGGGCCACCUUGGGGGAAUAAUUGUUGGAAUUCUCUAUUUGAAGUUGAAAGGAUUAUAUUCAGGUCUAGACCCAUUGACUUGAAUAACAAAAAAAUGUUAUAGGCAUAUUAAGCUGACCUUUAAAGUUUAUGAGAGGCUUAUUCAGACUAAGGCAGCGGUGGAUUUCUAGUAGGGGAACUAUGGGUGACAAUCAGGCAAGAAGGACGGUAUCAAGGGUAUGGAGUAGUCAAGUAUGUACAUUUGAUAAUUCUGUUUGGUUAACUGUAUAUGAAACGUAUGGGACAAGUCAAGGCCGCUGUGGAUUUUCAUCCCAGCAGUGUCAUCAACAUGAGUAUGAUGAUCUAACAUUGCUAGAAAUACAUUUACAAAAGAUUUGGUUGAUGAUUUUCUAAUUUCCUUAAUAAUUCUGAAUUUGGUGCA